GCUCGAGCAGCAUUCAUUUACAUACGAAUUGCAACACCAAGGAUAACCACCAAAACACACAAGAAAGAAGUGUCCUGACAACCGGAAUAGAUUAUGCCAUGCACACACAUUGCCAGAAUCUAGAGACUAAAGGGCAGUAAGAGAAGUUGUAAAACAGAGGUGUGCACCAAAGCUAGAUAUAUUUGAAGCUGAUUCAAGGACCUACAAGAAAUUCAUCCCCAAAAAAAUCCUUCGAUUUACUUUACAAAAUAGAAGAC
rnacentral:misc_RNA from 1 species